GAUGAAGAACGUAGCGAAAUGCGAUAAGUAAUGUGAAUUGCAGAAUUCAGUGAAUCAUCGAAUCUUUGAACGCACAUUGCGCCCCCUGGUAUUCCGGGGGGCAUGCCUGUUCGAGCGUCAUUUCACCACUCAAGCCUCGCUUGGUAUUGGGCAACGCGGUCCGCCGCGUGCCUCAAAUCGACCGGCUGGGUCUUCUGUCCCCUAAGCGUUGUGGAAACUAUUCGCUAAAGGGUGUUCGGGAGGCUACGCCGUAAAACAACCCCAUUUCUAAGGUUGACCUCGGAUCAGGUAAGGAUACCCGCUGAACUUAAGCAUAUCAAUAAGCGGAGGA
rnacentral:misc_RNA from 1 species